rnacentral:rRNA from 1 species
UACAGAGGGGGCAAGCGUUAUUCGGAAUUAUUGGGCGUAAAGGGCGCGUAGGCGGCGUCGUAAGUAGGAUGUGUAAUCCCCGAGCUUAACUUGGGAACUGCAUCCUAGACUGCGAUGCUAGAGUGCUGGAGAGGGUGGUAGAAUUCCACGUGUAGCGGUGAAAUGCGUAGAGAUGUGGAGGAAUACCAGUGGCGAAGGCGGCCACCUGGACAGUAACUGACGCUGAGGCGCGAAAGUGUGGGUAGCAAACAGGAUUAGAUACCCUGGUAGUCCACACUGUAAACGAUGAACACUUGGUGUGGCGAGAGUUGACCCUCGCCGUGCCGGAGCUAACGCGUUAAGUGUUCCGCCUGGGGAGUACGGUCGCAAGGCUG